CCUACGGGAGGCAGCAGUAAGGAAUAUUGGUCAAUGGGCGAAAGUCUGAACCAGCCAUGCCGCGUGAAGGAUUAAGGCCCUCUGGGUUGUAAACUUCUUUUAUCUGGGACGAAAAAAGGGUAUUCUUACUCACUUGACGGUACCAGAGGAAUAAGCACCGGCUAACUCCGUGCCAGCAGCCGCGGUAAUACGGAGGGUGCAAGCGUUAUCCGGAUUUACUGGGUUUAAAGGGUGCGUAGGUGGGCUUGUAAGUCAGUGGUGAAAUCUCCGGGCUUAACCCGGAAACUGCCAUUGAUACUAUAGGUCUUGAAUUAUCUGGAGGUAAGCGGAAUAUGUCAUGUAGCGGUGAAAUGCUUAGAUAUGACAUAGAACACCAAUUGCGAAGGCAGCUUACUACGGAUAUAUUGACACUGAGGCACGAAAGCGUGGGGAUCAAACAGGAUUAGAUACCCUGGUAGUCCACGCCCUAAACGAUGGAUACUCGACAUCAGCGAUACACUGUUGGUGUCUGAGCGAAAGCAUUAAGUAUCCCACCUGGGAAGUACGAUCGCAAGAUUGAAACUCAAAUGAAUUGACGGCUGAGAGNGCGAGACGACGACGAGGGAGGAGG
rnacentral:rRNA from 1 species